AGUUGGGGCACCGGAUUCUGUCCCGGUUGCCCCUCUUCCAGGCCAGCUCUCUGCUGUGGCCAGGGAGUGCAGUGGAGGAUGGCCCAGGUGCUUGGGCCCUGCACCCCAUGGGAGACCAGGAAAAGCACCUGGCUCCUGGCUCCUGCCAUCGGAUCAGCGCGGUGCACUGGCCGCAGCGCGCCAGCCGUGGCGGCCAUUGGAGGGUGAACCAACGGCAAAGGAAGACCUUUCUCUCUGUCUCUCUCUCUCACUGUCCACUCUGCCUGUCAAAAAAAAAUGUUAAUUUAAACAGAUGAACAUGGAUGACCACAGAGGAGUUUGCAGUAUGUUGGCUAUGCAGGAAAACCAGGAACAUGGUGGGAGUAUUCCAAGUAUUCUGCCUCUUGGACAGGGCUGACAUCGCACAUGCUCCCACUUCUGGUUGCCGUGGCAAUGAGACUCCCACUUUAUACUCAUGACACAGGAAUGAGUACAACCCCAUGCAAAGGAAGUGCACGGUAAUUAGAGGCAGAGCCACAUGUAGUCCGGCUAGAACCAUGUCCAAGGAAAGUCUAGGGACUAGUUUGGGUGGGCCACUGCCGCCAAGACCACAGUUAGGAGAGCAAAGACAUCGAAUGACGAAGGAGAGGAGUCAAUGCUUCAGGCAGAAUGCGGUUCUGCUGACUUGCUGUUCUCCCAAAGGUGCUGUGUGUAAAAGACCACAGCUGCACGCCCACGCUCUCUCUUCUGCUCUAUUUUUAGGUGCCUCCCCGGGGGAAAGCAUCUUGAAUACAGAAAGAACAUGGUUUACUGUCCUGGCUGCCGGUGGGUGUUGCCUCACUAAUAAUCAAGUAAGGAAACCAAGGAUGGGCCAGUUAUGCUGACAUGUUAGUUCCCUAUGGAAGAAACUUGGUGGCUUAACCCAACAGACGUUUAUUUUCUCUUAGUUCUAGAUGUCAGGAGUCCUAACUCCGUUGAGUUGGACUGAGAUCGUGGUAUCUGCAGAGGUAUUCUUCCUAGGGGAUUUACAAUCCUCGGUUCCCAGCCCCUUCCUCCACCUUCCAAACACAACGUACUGCGUGUCUCGUCAGUCGUCACAUUGCCGUCUUCUCCCAUAGUGGAACUGUACUCUGAUCUCCCCCUUAUGAGGACAUUUGGUAUUCUAUUAUCAGGUUCACCCGCAGAAUCCAGGCCAACCGCCCCGCCUCAAAAGCCCUAACUCCAUCACCUCUGCAAGGUCCCUCUGCCAUACAAGGAAGCAAUCAUGCAGGUUCGGGAUUAGGACACUGACCGUUAAGGGAGCCAUUUGUCAGCCCACCGCAUAGGGCAGGACAAGUAGAAGUGGGAAGGGAAGGCAACUUUAAGAACUGUUAUUUAAAGUGCAAUAUAAAUUAGAGCCCCAUUAACGUUAUUGAAGACACAAGAAAACAGAGUUCAAGUUUUUUUAAUACCUAUUAAAAGUGUGUUUCUCUGACAUUGACAUGGUUCUGAGACCGGACUGUAAGGAGUAAUGACAGGUAUGUAAGUUAUAAGUAUUAAUCAAUGACAUGUAUGUAGGUUAUGAGCGUUAAUCAAUUAAAAUAAUCAUUGGUAAAAAUUCCAUCCACUAUCAUGCGUCUCUUAAAGGAAUCAUUUCAAGAAAUUCCUUCUUGGCCAGCACUCUACUUUAAAUAAGUUUUAGCAUGCAAAGCGGCAGGGAAGACACAGUUAUACAAAGCCACUGACAUUCUGAGUCCACGUGAUCCGUGAUGUGGGUUCUCACUUGCUCUGCCUCAGACAGCUGCUAUUUGUAUGGUAAACCUGGACAGUUACACACAUUAUUUAAUAACCAUUUGGAUGUCUCAUUCUUCACUACUCCAAUUGCCUGCUACUCCCCAUUCUGAGGGAAAAUGGAUAAGAAACUUGAGAGUGAAUGCCUUAAAGCCAAGUGUGACAGGGGCCAGGCCUGUGACGUAAGCAAGUGAAGUGGUCUGGGCAGGUACAGCCGAGUGAAGAGGUCUGGGCGGAUACAGUGGAGUGAAGAGGGUCUGGGCAGGUACAGUCGAGUGAAGGGGUCUGGGCAGGUACUGUGGAGUGAAGCAGUCUGGGUGGGUACAGUCGAGUGAAGGGGUCUGGGCAGGUACAGUCAAGUGAAGUGGUCUGGGUGGGUACAGUCGAGUGAAGCGGUCUGGGAGAGACAGUGAAGUGGUCUGGGCAGGUACAGUCGAGUGAAGUGGUCUGGGCAGGUACAGUCGAGUGAAGGGGUCUGGGCGGGUACAGUUGAGUGAAGUGGUCUGGGAGAGACAGUGAAGUGGUCUGGGCAUGUACAGUCGAGUGAAGUGGUCUGGGCGGGUACAGUCGAGUGAAGCGGUCUGGGCAGGUACAGUGGAAAUCUGGAGGUACCCACCCCACCACGACUCUCUUCUAUCUGGUUCUUGCCAUUUCAACAGGCAACAUCACCAAUGCCUUUCAAAUUUCAAGAUAAUGUUUUUUUAAUUCCAGAAUGCUAUGUAGUAUCUCCUGACUUUUAAGGUUGGGAACUAAUUUAGAACACCUUGCAGGCCAAGUAGGCCUUACUUAACCGGGUGGGUGCUUGGCUGAGGAGGUAGGAUGCCAGUUAAGGUGCCCACAACCCACUCUGGAAUGCCUGGGCUCCCGACUCCAGAUUCCUGCCACCAUGCACCAUGGGAGGCAGAGCUGGCAUCAGAAGUGCUUGAGUAACUGUCAGGCAGUGGGAAGCUUGCACUGUGCUCCCAGCCCCCAGCACGGGCAUGGGCCUGGGCCAGCCCUCACUGCUGUGGGCAUCUGAAGACUGAACCAGCAG